CGAGACCCUGGUGCUUGCACCAGGUGACAGUGGCAGACGGGUGAGUAACGCGUGGCAACCUACCCUUCACUACGGGACAACAGUUGGAAACGACUGCUAAUACCGUAUACGUCCUCCGGGAGAAAGAUUUAUCGGUGAUGGAUGGGGCCGCGUUAGAUUAGCUAGAUGGUGGGGUAAUGGCCUACCAUGGCGACGAUCUAUAGCGGGUCUGAGAGGAUGAUCCGCCACACUGGGACUGAGACACGGCCCAGACUCCUACGGGAGGCAGCAGUAGGGAAUAUUGGACAAUGGGCGAAAGCCUGAUCCAGCAACGCCGCGUGAAUGAUGAAGGCCUUAGGGUUGUAAAAUUCUUUCGCUAGGGAAGAUAAUGACUGUACCUAGUAAAGAAGCCCCGGCUAACUCCGUGCCAGCAGCCGCGGUAAUACGGAGGGGGCUAGCGUUGUUCGGAAUUACUGGGCGUAAAGCGUGCGUAGGCGGACUAGCAAGUAUAGGGUGAAAUCCCAGGGCUCAACCCUGGAACUGCCUUAUAAACUGCUAGUCUUGAGUUCUGGAGAGGUAAGUGGAAUUCCUAGUGU
rnacentral:rRNA from 1 species